GCGGCGGACGGGUGAGUAAUGCCUAGGAAUCUGCCUAGUAGUGGGGGAUAACUUGCCGAAAGGUAAGCUAAUACCGCAUACGUCCUACGGGAGAAAGCAGGGGACCUUCGGGCCUUGCGCUAUUAGAUGAGCCUAGGUCGGAUUAGUUAGUUGGUGAGGUAAUGGCUCACCAAGACCGCGAUCCGUAACUGGUCUGAGAGGAUGAUCAGUCACACUGGAACUGAGACACGGUCCAGACUCCUACGGGAGGCAGCAGUGGGGAAUAUUGGACAAUGGGGGGAACCCUGAUCCAGCCAUGCCGCGUGUGUGAAGAAGGUCUUAGGAUUGUAAAGCACUUUAAGUUGGGAGGAAGGGCAGUUAACUAAUAUUUGACUGUUUUGACGUUACCGACAGAAUAAGCACCGGCUAACUUCGUGCCAGCAGCCGCGGUAAUACGAAGGGUGCAAGCGUUAAUCGGAAUUACUGGGCGUAAAGCGCGCGUAGGUGGUUCGUUAAGUUAGGAGUGAAAGCCCCGG
rnacentral:rRNA from 1 species